rnacentral:lncRNA from 10 species
CGUGAGCCACCGUGCCUGGCCCGUUCUAUACACUUUGAAGAUGAAACGUUUUCCUCUAAAACUGCUUCAGUUACAUCCCCAACCAGUGGUAAACUAUGAAAUGUCAGCGUUCAGCCAGAUGGUAUGAUGGAGCAGCAGAAGUCAGAAUUCAGUGAGGGGACACUGAAGGAACAGAUAAUGCUCCUGCUUUGCCUUGAAGUGUCAUCAAUUUGUAAUUUCAGGGUUAACUGCAGAAGUGUCUCAGGAAGGCUGCCAUCUGCAAGCCAGGAAGAGAGAACUCACCAGAAACCAAAUCAGCUGGCAUCUUGAUUUGGACUUCCCUGCCUCCAGAACUG